rnacentral:rRNA from 1 species
UACGUAGGGAGCAAGCGUUGUCCGGAAUCAUUGGGCGUAAAGCGCGCGUAGGCGGCCCGGUAAGUCCGCUCUGAAAGUCACAGGCUCAACCUGUGAAAGCGGGUGGAUACUGCCGGGCUAGAGUCCGGAAGAGGCGAGUGGAAUUCCUGGUGUAGCGGUGGAAUGCGCAGAUAUCAGGAGGAACACCAACGGCGAAGGCAGCUCGCUGGGACGGUACUGACACUGAGGCGCGAAAGCGUGGGUAGCAAACAGG